rnacentral:rRNA from 1 species
CAGUCGCCGCGGUAAUACGAAGGGGGCUAGCGUUGCUCGGAAUGACUGGGCGUAAAGGGCGCGUAGGCGGUUUAUACAGUCAGAUGUGAAAUUCCUGGGCUCAACCUGGGGACUGCAUUUGAUACGUAUGGACUUGAGUGGAGAAGAGGGUUGUGGAAUUUCCAGUGUAGAGGUGAAAUUCGUAGAUAUCGGAAGGAACACCUGUGGCGAAAGCGGCUCACUGGACAAUAACUGACGCUGAUGCACGAAAGCUAGGGGAGCAAACAGGAUUAGAUACCCCAGUAGUCCCUGUCUCUUAUAC